rnacentral:lncRNA from 1 species
UAACUAAAAAAUGAUAUAGAUUUAUUAAUGGUUUCAUACAAAACAUAUUCACAAUACAUUGUAUUUCAACAUAACAAAAUAGCAUAAGUACAAAAUGAAACGAAUGCAAGCUUUGUAAUAAGAGUAAGAACAUUGUAUGAUAGAUUUUUUAAGAUAAUGUAUAUCUUUACUUUUUUUUUUUACAUUAAUCAGUUAUGAAUGUUACUUAUGGGAGAUAAAAGACUUUCUAUUGCAUUUGUGAUCAAGAUCUUGUUCAUCUGGUUAAUGAUGAGAUCUCAAGGAUAAAUGUUUUUUUUUAUUCUUACAAAACCAAAAUAACAAGAUUAUGAAAGUAUUCAUUGCAGUGACACUUAACUUUCAUAUCUCUCUUAUAAUUCCAAUGUAGAAAUAUGACAAUAUCAAAUAAGUCAAUAAAAAAAAUACUCAUCUGUCAAAAUUUAGCCAACAUCUUUCAAUGUAAAAGCAUAACUUGUAUUAAUACAUUUCUGAUUUGAUAAUAAACUUUAUAGUACUUUCAAAGCCUUAAAUUUGCAAAACUAUGCAAGCUAUGAAGAAGUUCCAAGGAAAUAUUUUAUAAAGCUUCUAAAAAAUUGUUCUCGAUUGACAAAAUUUAUAAGAUCAUGGUACCAAAUUCACCAAAAUCUGGUAUCAGUAUAAUGCGAUACAUAAUAAAAUUUGAACCCUGUUUAAAAAGUAAAGGCCAAGAGGAAUAUUUUAUUUAUAGCUUUCAUAAAUUGUUAAUUAACUUUCAAUGGUGUCUUUAAAUGCAUUGUUGAUUGUAAUACUCAGAUGAACAAUUUAAUUCUGGGAGACACAGAUGAUAAAAUGAAUUUGUUCUUUGAUAAUAAAAUGAAAAUUUCAAGUAAAGAAGAUAUUUUUUGUUCUGACAAAAGAAAAAUAAAAGAUGUGAGAAAAAUAGCUACAUUAAUUAUGUUUUGAACACAUUUUUACCUCAAAAUUCACUAAUCUGUUAAGAAUAUUUAGCACUGUCUUAGAUCUUUUGUACAAACAUAAGAAAAUGUCUCAAUAAAUAGAACAAUCAAAUGAAUAGUUGGCUAUGUCUUCUAUGCCACUAACACACCUCAGA